UGUAAACUUUAGGAGUAGCUAUUCAAUUAGUUUGAGAAAGAUCCUUAGAACCUGAUUUGGUUAAUACCAGCGUAGGGAAAAGUUGUUUUCGGUAU
rnacentral:ncRNA from 1 species